rnacentral:lncRNA from 1 species
AACGAUUGGGAGAGAGAGAUUCGUUGAGCUUGAGAGAGAGUUUGUGAGAUUGGGAGAGACAGAAGCGUCUGUUGCAUUGUCCCCUUUUUCUUUCUUUUAAUUUAUUUUUAAGCAGAAUAAACAUUGAAACUAUUAAUUUUUUUUUAUGUUUAAACUUCCUAGGUUUUCAUUUAAAUAUGAUUUCAUUUAGUAGUGUAUUAGUGUAGUAUUUUGGUAUUCCCAAU